UGAAUUUGGAUGUGAAUUCAAGCAGUGCGGUGGUCAGCAAAUGCCUCUCACACAUGGAAUAUAAAAUCAUGGGCUGUGACCAUGGACUAUGAUCCCGCAGAGCCUCUCAACCUCUUAUUUUCAUGUCUUGACUCAUCUGUCUUGAAAAGAGAUGCUGGGUGUGAUUUUGGCUUGCACUUCUCUGACCUCUGACAACAUGAGCUCCUUAAUGUCCACAGACAGGAGCCAAAUUCACAGGAAUAUGCAUCUAUCUGGCUCAACAUAGGUC
rnacentral:lncRNA from 1 species